rnacentral:rRNA from 1 species
UACAGAGGGUGCGAGCGUUGUCCGGAAUCACUGGGCGUAAAGGGCGCGUAGGUGGCGGCCCAAGUCCAUGGUGAAAGCUCGAUGCUCAACAUCGAGUCGGCCACGGAUACUGGGUUGCUCGAGCACUGUAGGGGCAGAUGGAAUUCCGGGGUGUAGCGGUGGAAUGCGUAGAGAUCCGGAAGAACACCGGUGGCGAAGGCGGUCUGCU